UCGGGAAUUUUGGACAAUGGGCGCAAGCCUGAUCCAGCCAUGCCGCGUGCAGGAUGAAGGCCUUCGGGUUGUAAACUGCUUUUGUACGGAACGAAAAGGUGCCUUCUAAUAAAGGGCGCUCAUGACGGUACCGUAAGAAUAAGCACCGGCUAACUACGUGCCAGCAGCCGCGGUAAUACGUAGGGUGCGAGCGUUAAUCGGAAUUACUGGGCGUAAAGCGUGCGCAGGCGGUUUUGUAAGACAGAGGUGAAAUCCCCGGGCUCAACCUGGGAACUGCCUUUGUGGCUGCGAGGCUGGAGUGCGGCAGAGGGGGAUGGAAUUCCGCGUGUAGCAGUGAAAUGCGUAGAUAUGCGGAGGAACACCGAUGGCGAAGGCAAUCCCCUGGGCCUGCACUGACGCUCAUGCACGAAAGCGUGG
rnacentral:rRNA from 1 species